GUCGACAAGGGCUAUCCUAAUUAAUCCUUUUAUUUUUACCAUUACUUUUUGUCAGCAAAAUGUCGAAGUAUUAACAUUUUCAUCCAGUCUUUCAAUAUGGCCAAAGGUAUCCCUUAAUAUUUUGUUCAUAUUAGAUAACAGCUAACACCUUUAGCUUUGGAGAAUUAAGGAAAGGCCAAUAAUGGGCUAAUAGUAUGUAUCACAUACUUACUCGCCCGCUCACCAUAAUCCUAACUACUUUUGCUUGUACUUAUGGUCAUUACCUAACGUAUAGACUGGCGGCACUCUCUUAUUGACAAGUGAAAGUGUCUGACGUAAAACAAUCUAGUGUUACACCGUGUAAAAUAAUAGAUUAGGGGGCAUUAAUCAGGCGCAUUGCUGCUUAAAAGAUCAACAGAAUCCAAUGGCUG